GUCGGUGACCCAAUAGGCAGGGGGAGACACCCGAUCCCAUCCCGAACUCGGCCGUUAAGCCCCUGUCGCCGAUGAUACUGCCUCGUGCGGGAAAGUAGGUAUCGCCGACU
rnacentral:rRNA from 1 species